AAGGGCGGUGCGGCGUGCUAUACAUGCAAGUCGAGCGAACAGACGAGGAGCUUGCUCCUCUGACGUUAGCGGCGGACGGGUGAGUAACACGUGGGUAACCUACCUAUAAGACUGGGAUAACUCCGGGAAACCGGGGCUAAUACCGGAUAAUACAUGAAACCGCAUGGUUUCAUGAUGAAAGACGGUUUUGCUGUCACUUAUAGAUGGACCCGCGGCGUAUUAGCUAGUUGGUAAGGUAACGGCUUACCAAGGCAACGAUACGUAGCCGACCUGAGAGGGUGAUCGGCCACACUGGAACUGAGACACGGUCCAGACUCCUACGGGAGGCAGCAGUAGGGAAUCUUCCGCAAUGGGCGAAAGCCUGACGGAGCAACGCCGCGUGAGUGAUGAAGGUCUUCGGAUCGUAAAACUCUGUUAUUAGGGAAGAACAAGGAUGUAAGUAACUGUGCAUCCCUUGACGGUACCUAAUCAGAAAGCCACGGCUAACUACGUGCCAGCAGCCGCGGUAAUACGUAGGUGGCAAGCGUUAUCCGGAAUUAUUGGGCGUAAAGCGCGCGUAGGCGGUUUUUUAAGUCUGAUGUGAAAGCCCACGGCUCAACCGUGGAGGGUCAUUGGAAACUGGAAAACUUGAGUGCAGAAGAGGAAAGUGGAAUUCCAUGUGUAGCGGUGAAAUGCGCAGAGAUAUGGAGGAACACCAGUGGCGAAGGCGACUUUCUGGUCUGCAACUGACGCUGAUGUGCGAAAGCGUGGGGAUCAAACAGGAUUAGAUACCCUGGUAGUCCACGCCGUAAACGAUGAGUGCUAAGUGUUAGGGGUUUCCGCCCUUAGUGCUGCAGCUAACGCAUUAAGCACUCCGCCUGGGGGAGUACGGCCGCAAGGCUGAAACUCAAGGAAUUGACGGGGACCCGCACAAGCGGUGGAGCAUGUGUUUAAUUCGAAGCAACGCCGAAGAACCUUACCAAAUCUGAACAUCCUUUGACACUCUAGAGAUAGAGCUUUCCCCUUCGGGGACAAAGUGAAGUGUGCAUGAUGUCGUCAGCUCGUGUCGUGGAGAAUGUGGGUAAGUCCCGCAACGAGGCGCAACCCUUAGGCUUAGUUGGCAGACAUA
rnacentral:rRNA from 1 species